AGGACGAACGCUGGCGGCGUGCUUAACACAUGCAAGUCGAACGGAAAGGCCCUUCGGGGUACUCGAGUGGCGAACGGGUGAGUAACACGUGAGCAAUCUGCCCCUAGCUCUGGGAUAGCUCCGGGAAACCGGGAUUAAUACCAGAUAUUACUACGGCCGACAUCAGCUGUGGUGGAAAGAAUUUCGGCUAGGGAUGAGCUCGCGGCCUAUCAGCUUGUUGGUGGGGUAAAGGCCCACCAAGGCGACGACGGGUAGCCGGCCUGAGAGGGCGACCGGCCACACUGGGACUGAGACACGGCCCAGACUCCUACGGGAGGCAGCAGUGGGGAAUAUUGCGCAAUGGGCGAAAGCCUGACGCAGCGACGCCGCGUGCGGGAUGAAGGCCUCGGGUUGUAAACCGCUUUCAGCAGGGACGAAGCGAAAGUGACGGUACCUGCAGAAGAAGCGCCGGCUAACUACGCGCCAGCAGCCGCGGUAA
rnacentral:rRNA from 1 species